UGACAUUCUAUGUGUUUACAUUCCUCCA
rnacentral:sRNA from 1 species